rnacentral:lncRNA from 1 species
AUGGGUCUUGUGGGUCCACCGGGCCCAAUUGGUAUGCCUGGUGAGAGAGGACGUAUCGGUCCAGCAGGCCCUGUGGGUAGACGUGGUCUUUCGGGACAUGUGGGAAAACCAGGUCCAUUGGUAUGUGAAUGGCAGAAACCCCUCCAUCAGUUCUCAUUUAUCUACUCAGAUCUACACAUUUACUUCUGACUAAAUACCUUGAAAGAAAUGCACUACCAUUUAAAGGUUUGGGAUUAAUUUGAUUUCUAAUUUCUUAAUGCUUUUGAAAAAUGUCACUUUUGCUCACCAAUGCUGCAUUUACUUGAUCAAACAUUCAGUAAAAACAGUAAUAUCGUGAAAUAAUAUUACAAUUUAAUAUACAGUUGUGGCCAGAAUUAAUGACACUCUUGGUGAAUAUGAACAAAAGCAGCUGUGAAAAUAAAUCUGCAUUGUCAGUCCUUUUGAUCUUUAAUUAAAAAAAAAAAAUCACAAAAACCUAACCUUUAAUUGAAGUAAAACAAUUGAAAAUGGG